GCCAGCGGCAGUAGUGUAGUGGUAAGCGCGCCGAGGCGACCUCCCACUAAGGGAAUUUUGCUCAGGUUUUCUCCUGAACUGGUCGUGGGUUAGAGUCCUACCACUGGCA
rnacentral:tRNA from 1 species